rnacentral:tRNA from 1 species
UCUCGAUUGGUCUAGUGGUAAGGAUACCUGCUUGUCAAAUAGCAAUUCGCAGGUGGCCGGGGUUCGAUUCCCCGAUCGAGAG